GCUGGCGGCAGUUCUAACACAUGGAGAGUAAGCGCGUGUAGCAAUACACGAGCGGCGCACGGGUGAUUUUCCCGUGGAUAUCUGCAUUUUGGUUCGGAAUAACCCCGGGAAACUGGGGCUAAUACCGGAUGGUUCCUACGGGAUAAAGAUUUAUCGCCAAAAGAUGAGUCCGCGUCCGAUUAGCUAGUUGGUGAGGUAACGGCUCACCAAGGCAACGAUCGGUAGCUGGUCUGAGAGGACGAUCAGCCACACUGGGACUGAGACACGGCCCAGACUCCUACGGGAGGCAGCAGUGGG
rnacentral:rRNA from 1 species